UACGUAGGUGGCGAGCGUUGUCCGGAUUUACUGGGCGUAAAGAGCGCGCAGGCGGCUGUGCAAGUCCGAUGUGAAAGCUUCCGGCUUAACUGGAAAAUUGCAUCGGAAACUGCUCGGCUUGAAGGUGGGAGAGGGUAGCGGAAUUCCCGGUGUAGUGGUGAAAUGCGUAGAUAUCGGGAGGAACACCAGUGGCGAAGGCGGCUACCUGGCCCACUCUUGACGCUGAGGCGCGAAAGCUAGGGGAGCAAACGGG
rnacentral:rRNA from 1 species